AAAAAUCACCGAAGAUAAGAUAACAAGGCAAAAGAGAGUGAAAAGGGGUCAUAAGCAUACAAAAUUGUGAAGUUGGGACCCAUGCACAAGUGCCAAAAGUUGAGGACCUUGGGCUGCAAUUUAUGGAGGGCUAAAUUGAUAUAAAAGUCGAAAUUUGAGGAUCAAAUUGUAUAAGAUCAAAGUAGAGAGACCUAACGUGCAAUUAUUUGGGAACUUGGAUGCUAAAAAAAAAAAAAAAAAAAAAACAACAUAAGCAUACAAAAUUGUGAAGUUGGGACCCAUGCACAAGUGCCAAAAGUUGAGGACCUUGGGCUGCAAUUUAUGGAGGGCUAAAUUGAUAUAAAAGUCGAAAUUUGAGGAUCAAAUUGUAUAAGAUCAAAGUAGAGAGACCUAACGUGCAAUUAUUUGGGAACUUGGAUGCUAAAAAAAAAAAAAAAAAAAACCAAUUAUUGGUUUUGGACACAGCCACAGCGCCGAGGCGCCACCUUUAAAUACUAAAGAAAGCUCGGGGAUCGUCCUGCUCAGCUUCUGAAACUUCAGGGACCAACGCUGCAAUAUCUGAAUAGGGUUUAUAAUUGUAAAUAAAAGGGCCACUGGGGGAGUUACUAAUUUUCGGCUGGUUCCGUCGUUUGCUUCUUUUUCUUUUUCUUUCAUCUUUCAUUUUCUUUCUUCUUUUCUCU
rnacentral:lncRNA from 1 species